CCCUCACUCCCUGCCAGUCCCGGUGCCUCCUGCUGAGCCUUCCCCACCUCCAGCCCCGCUCUGCCAAGGGCUGCCGUGCCCUGGCACCGAUCCCUCCUCCCGGCUGGGUCUGGGAAAUCUCCAGGCUCGGCUCCAGGGGCGCUCGGGCCCCGUUUGGGACAAGGGGCCGGUGCCACCCCGGGGACGGUGCCACCCCGGCCCCAGCUCGGCCUGAACCCAGAGCCAGCCGAGUGCCGGGUGGGAGCCUGAGCAGCCCCGGAGCUGCCCGACUCCAGCACGUCCAUCCCGAGUUCCAGCUGCUGCUGACGCGGGGAGACGGCUGAAAAGGGAAGACGGAGCUCUCCAAGACACAACGAAAACAAAUCCUCCGCCUCCAUCCCGCUCUCCCCGAGUUCCUUGGCUCGGCUUAACGAGGCUUUUCUGCCAAAAAGUCCAAUUAAGAGCCCUGCACCCCCCCCGAAAGCUUCGUGGCACCAUCACAUCACGCCCCAAACGUGCCAGCUCAGAGCUCUGAGUGUCCCCAGCACGCCCCGGGCCCGGCCCUGCCCUGCGGGGAGGGCACCUGAGCAGAGCAGCCCGGCCAGAGAGCUGGGAGAGGGACCACAAACAACCCCAACAAAGGCAGGAAAACAUCCCAUUCACUCAGCAAGGCCGCGGGGCUGCUCCCAGCUGGGCUUCCGGAGGUAUUUUUAGGGCGGCAGAGAAGGGAACGGCCGUGCCAGGCGGGAGCUGAGCCGCGGGCAGGGGGGGCUGCUCGAGGCUGACAGGAGACCACUCGGCCUGUUCACACCCAGCCAGGCCAGGCCGGGCUUUUUUUGACCCCAAGUCAGCAGAGGAGCUGUCAGUGGGGAGCCCGGAGCGGAUGCAUUCCUGACUCCUGCCCUCGGGGAGCAUAGCAAGGGAAUGAGGCACAGACACAGGACUGACUCACCUCCCUCCUGUGCUGCCCCGGAGAGCAGCGGCUGGGCUGGAUGCAGAUCAAAAGGUCCCAGCUGUUAAAGCCAUGAUUGCAGGAUUUCCCAGACUCGCUGAAAAAGCACGUAUGCCAUUGUGUCCCACGGCUGGAACAGGAAAAAGCCUGAAAAUCCGAGCCACAGCCUCCGAACACAAACCGGCUCCUCGCCGCCGCCGCUCUCCAACCUCCUUUUUCUUUCAACGCUUCCUAAACGGCUUUGGAGUUUUGCAGGGCCGGCUUUCGGCUCCCCCCCAGGACUGCUCCUAUCCCACCGUGGGGGAACUUUUUGGCCUCGUGUAUCCCAGAGCCACCCACGUGGCCACUCACGUGCCACGGCCUCGGGAUACUCGGAGCCACCGGCCUCUGUCCCCCGGUGUCACCUGGGUCUCGACUCCGGCCCACAGCCAGCCGAGUGUGAAGCAGAAACCGGGGCCAGCUGUGCUCCAGCCACCCCAGCCUGGAUUCCCCAGCCCUCCACACAAACCCAGCCCCACAAAACCACGGAGUCUGUGGCUUUGUGGGCCCGCACGGAACACGGCGUGGCACUGAAACGCCUCUGCCGGCUCAGGAGCGGCCAGGACAGCUCCCAGCACGGAGCCAGAGCCUCUCCCUGCCCCGGGGAGGUUCCCAACGAAGCCAUUUAAUAAACUGCAGGACAAGACA